rnacentral:rRNA from 1 species
GACGAACGCUGGCGGCGUGCUUAACACAUGCAAGUCGAACGAAGAGCGAUGGAAGCUUGCUUCUAUCAAUCUUAGUGGCGAACGGGUGAGUAACGCGUAAUCAACCUGCCCUUCAGAGGGGGACAACAGUUGGAAACGACUGCUAAUACCGCAUACGAUCUAAUCUCGGCAUCGAGGAUAGAUGAAAGGUGGCCUCUACAUGUAAGCUAUCACUGAAGGAGGGGAUAGCGUCUGAUUAGCUAGUUGGAGGGGUAACGGCCCACCAAGGCGAUGAUCAGUAGACGGUCUGAGAGGAUGAACGGCCACAUUGGGACUGAGACACGGCCCAGACUCCUACGGGAGGCAGCAGUGGGGAAUCUUCCGCAAUGGACGAAAGUCUGACGGAGCAACGCCGCGUGAGUGAUGACGGCCUUCGGGUUGUAAAGCUCUGUUAAUCGGGACGAAAGGCCUUCUUGCGAAUAGUGAGAAGGAUUGACGGUACCGGAAUAGAAAGUCACGGCUAACUACGUG